UAAUAUUGCCCAGUUCCUUAAAAGGCCUUUACCCUGUAGUUGCGACUCAUACCAGUAUUUCUUGUACCUAGUAGAAAGAGGAAGGUGCCUACUUUCAAGCCUCUGCCCCCAAAUGAAUUCCAGAAGUUGUGUGUGAGCAGAAGUUCCAGCUUCAGAUGCUGAGCUUUCUUUUCUGAGGAGGGGGUGUUUGUUUCCACAGCUUUGGAGGGAUGGCUGGAAAGAGGUGGGCAGCUUCCACAGCAACAUGCUGUCAGAGAGUUACCAGAUUCGAAAAUGACUGUUCAUCAGCUAGAAUGGAUAAGGACAUCCCACAUUUGGAUCUGACUGCAGCAGGUCUGCUGCUGGACCGCUGGCCAGGGCCACACGAUGGAGUACACUGGGACAGGAGCUGCACAGCAAAGCUCUUGCUGUCACCACAGCAGCUGGGAACUACUGCAGAGCCAGGGAUGGCCCAAAAGUCAGCGCUAGUGCAAACCAGUAAGGAGGAGUCUCUACCUACAGACUGUGUGCUGUGCCAGCUUCUGCAAGCCCACAGCUGCACUUGCAGAGAAAGAAGCCUUAGGGCACUUUGUCUGUGUUGUUACAAAUAUGACUUAGACAU